GAGGGCGAUCACGCCAACGGUUCGCGAUUGGCCGGAUGGGCGGGCAGCCUGACCAAUAGCGACGCGGGGGCAGUUAUAAAGUAUGCAGCGGGGGCACGUGCCCGGUCUUUCCAGCCAAGAGGGCCCGGCGGGAACGGGAUCGCGCCGGUGAGAACCGGAUGGUGGCGGCCUGAGGGGCGGUGAGGCGGGGGCGAUGAACGGCGACGUGGGAGGUUCAUCAACCGCCUUCCUAGGGGUUCGGCCCGGGCACCGGUACUCUCCAUGCCCAAACCGCGAGUGCUGCCCGCCAGCCCUGCCUGCUGGGAGGCUGCUGGCCUCGGGGCGUCGGGAAGGUAGAAAAACGGUAUCGCUUGUUUCUAGCAUACCAUGGGCCUGUAUAAGCUUCUUCAGGGAUCUGCAGCCGCAGGGAAGGCAGGAGUGGGUCUCAGGCGGGUGAAACUGGGGCUGGAGUAACUACUAAAUGCCGUAGCACAGCUGCUGUUCAAGGGAUAGUGUAGACUACAAACUGUGAAGCAAAGCUCAGACUACGGCUAAAAGUGCACUCCUCUGGGGUUGCUGUAUCGCACAGGGAAGCUGCUGUUUCUUACGGUGUAAAACUUGAGAGUCAAUCAGUUUUUAAAGCACAAAGCAGCAGCUGCAGAAUUAGCUGAAGUACAUAAAACAAAAAGUAAUCGACUUUUACUCUGCCACAUGGAGUAGCUAAAGGUAAACCUCGUGGCAGGUGGUGGAUGCCGUGGUGUGGGUAACUGAAAGGAUUCACAGUAUGAACUCCAGUGCUAGAUUGUGUAGAUGGCUAAUUUAAAUCUUGGAGUCUGUGAUGCUAACUAGCUUUUUGGAAUAUUACAAGUUCCUCAGGUGAUGUUCUUCUCCCCAGCCUCAAAUCAAGUUCAGCCUUGUCAUUCUUCAGUUGUUUGCUGCUUUAUCUCCUCUCUGGCUUCUCUACUUGGCUAAUUCUGUAGCUUACAGAUCUAAUAAAGUUUUCAAAAGAA